UACGUAGGGUGCGAGCGUUAAUCGGAAUUACUGGGCGUAAAGCGUGCGCAGGCGGUCGCGUUAAGACAGGUGUGAAAGCCCCGAGCUUAACUUGGGAAUUGCGCUUGUGACUGGCGUGCUGGAGUGUGGCAGAGGGAGGUGGAAUUCCUGGUGUAGCGGUGAAAUGCGUAGAUAUCAAGAGGAACACCUGCGGCGAAGGCGGGUUGCUGGGCCGACACUGACGCUGAGGCGCGAAAGCGUGGGUAGCGAACAGG
rnacentral:rRNA from 1 species